rnacentral:sRNA from 2 species
AGCCAAGUCCUUGGGGAGUAGUCCGUUUGGCGUGCAAUGCGCCAAAGGCAUGCAUCAACAGACUUGGCGCCUUCGCGCUAUGGUGCAUGCGGCUUGGAAGAGCUGGGCAAGACCAUUGACUGCAACCGUUCCAAAGGCUGGCGCGGUGGUAGUCAAUGCGUGUUUGAGCCAGCCU